CUACGGGUCGCUGCAGUGGGGAAUAUUGCACAAUGGGCGCAAGCCUGAUGCAGCCAUGCCGCGUGUAUGAAGAAGGCCUUCGGGUUGUAAAGUACUUUCAGCGGGGAGGGAGGGAGUAAAGUUAAUACCUUUGCUCAUUGACGUUACCCGCAGAAGAAGCACCGGCUAACUCCGUGCCAGCAGCCGCGGUAAUACGGAGGGUGCAAGCGUUAAUCGGAAUUACUGGGCGUAAAGCGCACGCAGGCGGUUUGUUAAGUCAGAUGUGAAAUCCCCGGGCUCAACCUGGGAACUGCAUCUGAUACUGGCAAGCUCGAGUCUCGUAGAGGGGGGUAGAAUUCCAGGUGUAGCGGUGAAAUGCGUAGAGAUCUGGAGGAAUACCGGUGGCGAAGGUGGCCCCCUGGACGAAGACUGACGCUCAGGUGCGAAAGCGUGGGGAGCAAACAGGAUUAGAUACCCCUGUAGUC
rnacentral:rRNA from 1 species